GCCGGGGUGGCGGAAUUGGUAGACGCACAGGACUUAAAAUCCUGCGGUGGCAACACCGUGCCGGUUCGAUUCCGGCCCUCGGCACCA
rnacentral:tRNA from 1 species